UUCUUAUCAAGAGCAGGCGGAGGGACUAGCCCGAUGAAGCCCGGCAACCGGCGUUUAAAUACGCACGGUGCUAAUUCUUGCGGAAUUUUUUUUCUGAGAGAUGAGAG
rnacentral:ncRNA from 2 species